rnacentral:rRNA from 1 species
AGAGUUUGAUCCUGGCUCAGGAUGAACGCUAGCGGCAGGCUUAACACAUGCAAGUCGAGGGGUAACAUUGAUUGCUUGCAAUCAGAUGACGACCGGCGAACGGGUGCGUAACGCGUAUAGAAUCUGCCUUGUACAGGAGGAUAGCCUUUAGAAAUGAAGAUUAAUACUCCAUAAAUUUAAGAGAUGGCAUCAUUUUUUAAUUAAAGAUUUAUCGGUACGAGAUGACUAUGCGUCCUAUUAGCUAGAUGGUAAGGUAACGGCUUACCAUGGCAACGAUAGGUAGGGGGUCUGAGAGGAUUAUCCCCCACACUGGUACUGAGACACGGACCAGACUCCUACGGGAGGCAGCAGUGAGGAAUAUUGGUCAAUGGAGGCAACUCUGAACCAGCCAUGCCGCGUGCAGGAAGACUGCCCUAUGGGUUGUAAACUGCUUUUAUACAGGAAGAAACAUAGCUACGUGUAGUUAUUUGACGGUACUGUAAGAAUAAGCACCGGCUAACUCCGUGCCAGCAGCCGCGGUAAUAC